rnacentral:rRNA from 1 species
AUUAACGCUAGCGGCAGGCAUAAUACAUGCCAGUUGAACGGCAGCACAGGUAGCAAUACUGGGUGGCGAGUGGCGCACGGGUGCGUAACACGUAUGCAACCUACCCUAUACAGGCGAAUAACCUUUAGAAAUGAGGGCUAAUACGCCGUAGUAUUACAGAUGGGCAUCUAUUUGUAAUUAAAGAUUUAUCGGUAUAGGAUGGGCAUGCGUCCCAUUAGUUAGUUGGUAAGGUAACGGCUUACCAAGACGAUGAUGGGUAGGGGAUCUGAGAGGACUUACCCCCACACUGGUACUGAGACACGGACCAGACUCCUACGGGAGGCAGCAGUAAGGAAUAUUGGGCAAUGGCCGCGAGGCUGACCCAGCCAUGCCGCGUGCAGGAAGACGGCCUUAUGGGUGGUAAACUGCUUUUAUACGGGAAUAAUAGAGUGUACGCGUACAUUUAUGCAAGUAUCGUAUGAAUAAGCAUCGGCUAACUCCGUG